CGCCUGGGGAGUACGGCCGCAAGGCUAAAACUCAAAGGAAUUGACGGGGCCCCGCACAAGCGGCGGAGCAUGCGGAUUAAUUCGAUGCAACGCGUAGAACCUUACCUGGGUUUGACAUGGAUCGGGAGUGCUCAGAGAUGGGUGUGCCUCUUUUGGGGUCGGUUCACAGGUGGUGCAUGGCUGACGUCAGCUCGUGUCGUGAGAUGUUGGGUUAAGUCCCGCAACGAGCGCAACCCUUGUUCACUGUUGCCAGCACGUUAUGGUGGGGACUCAGUGGAGACCGCCGGGGUCAACUCGGAGGAAGGUGGGGAUGACGUCAAGUCAUCAUGCCCCUUAUGUCCAGGGCUUCACGCAUGCUACAAUGGCUGGUACAGAGAGUGGCGAGCCUGUAAGGGUGAGCGAAUCUCGGAAAGCCGGUCUCAGUUCGGAUUGGGGUCUGCAACUCGACCUCAUGAAGUCGGAGUCGCUAGUAAUCGCAGAUCAGCAACGCUGCGGUGAAUACGUUCCCGGGGCUUGUACACACCGCCCGUCAAGUCAUGAAGGUUGGUAACACCCGAAGCCGGUGGCCCAACCGUUGUGGGGGAGCCGUCGAAGAUGGGACUGGUGAUUAGGACUAAGUCGUAACAAGGUAACCGUA
rnacentral:rRNA from 1 species